rnacentral:rRNA from 1 species
UAGGAGAUACACCUGUUCUCAUGCCGAACACAGAAGUUAAGCCCUAGAACGCCGGAAGUAGUUGGGGGUUGCCCCCUGUGAGAUAAGGU